rnacentral:rRNA from 1 species
GACGAACGCUGGCGGCGUGCUUAACACAUGCAAGUCGAACGGUAAGGCUCCAGCUUGCUGGGGUACACGAGUGGCGAACGGGUGAGUAACACGUGGGUGACCUGCCCUGCACUUCGGGAUAAGCCUGGGAAACUGGGUCUAAUACCGGAUAGGACCAUGGAGUGGAUACUGUGGUGGAAAGUUUUUUCGGUGUGGGAUGGGCCCGCGGCCUAUCAGCUUGUUGGUGGGGUAUUGGCCUACCAAGGCAGCGACGGGUAGCCGACCUGAGAGGAAGGACGGCCACAUUGGGAAUGAGACAGGGCCGAGACUCGUACGGGAGACAGCAGUGGGGAAUAUUGCAAAAUGGGCGGAAGCCUGGUGCAGCGACGCUGCGUGGGGGAUGACGGCCUGCGGGUUGUAAACUACUUUCACCAUCGACGAAGGGUUUCUGACGGUAGAUGAAGAAGAAGCACCGGCUAACUACGUG